rnacentral:rRNA from 1 species
AUUGAACGCUGGCGGCAGGCCUAACACAUGCAAGUCGAACGAGCGGCGGACGGGUGAGUAAUGUCUGGGAAUCUGCCCGAUGGAGGGGGAUAACUACUGGAAACGGUAGCUAAUACCGCAUACUAUCGGAUGUGCCCAGAGGGGAUUAGCUAGGAGGUGGGGUAAAGGCUCACCUAGGCGACGAUCCCGAGCUGGUCUGAGAGGAUGAACAGCCACACUGGAACUGAGACACGGCCCAGACUCCUACGGGAGGCAGCAGUGGGGAAUAUUGGACAAUGGGCGCAAGCCUGAUGCAGCCAUGCCGCGUGUAUGAAGAAGGCCUUCGGGUUGUAAAGUACUUUCAGCGGGGAGGCGUUACCCGCAGAAGAAGCACCGGCUAACUCCGUGCCAGCAGCCGCGGUAAUUC